CCCUUAGAUGUCCUGGGCCGCACGCGCGUUACACUGAUGCAUUCAACGAGCUUAUAACCUUGGCCGAGAGGCCUGGGCAAUCUUGUUAACGUGCAUCGUGAUAGGGAUAGAUUAUUGAAAUUAUUAAUCUUGAACGAGGAAUUCCUAGUAAACGCAGAUCAUCAAUCUGCAUUGAUUACGUCCCUGCCCUUUGUACUCACCGCCCGUCGCACCUACCGAUUGGAUGGUCCGGUGAAGCCUCGGGAUUGUGGUUCUUGCCGCUUUAUUGUGGCGUGACCGCGAGAACUUGUCUAAACCUUAUCAUCUAGAGGAAGGUGAAGUCGUAACA
rnacentral:rRNA from 1 species